UUGAAGAUUAAUUUUGCAAAUCUCGAUUGAUUGAUUUUUAAUUUAUUGAUCGCGAUCGAACACUCUUCUCUGGAUUUGAUCGAUUGAUUGCUUUCGUUCAGAUCUGUAAGUUUGAGUCCCUAUGCGCAUAUUAACAUCCUCAAACCAACUCUAUUUCUGACUCGUUCGUGGUGAUCUUUGCGUUUGUGCUUUGUAUGCAAUUCUAGGGUUAGUCUAUUGAGGCUAAUCUCUAUUGCGUUUGUGUAUAGAGUCACAGAACCACCAUCACAACCAUACUGUGUCAAUCUUUGUAGCAGCAAUGUCUCUUUUCCUCACAAUGGGUUUUGUGCACUGCAGACACCUGAUUUCCACUCUGGUGAGUCUUCUUUGAUUCCCUCCUUCCUUACCUUGCUUAUGAUCUGUCUGGCCCUGUCGUUUGUGCAUUUGGUUUUUCUGCUACUUUCCAUAAAUUUUAAUGUCUUCAAAAGCCAUGUAUCUGUGUGUUUGUUUAUAUGUGCAUCAAAAUUUUAUUGGAUUUUAUCCGAUGGACCCGCAGAGUACUUAGAGUGACCAAAAUUUGAGUUUAUGUUCUGCAGCUCCAAUAACAAAUAGGAGGAAAACCUUGGAAGAGGUAGAAAGAUAGGCUAAAAUUUGAGUUUAUGAUAGGCCAAAAUUAUUGACAAAAUUAUUGUUAAGAUGAUGGGUAGAAAGAUUUACUUAUCCUGUCUGCUGUAGUUAUAUAAAUAGAAUCAGACGAUGGUUUGAGUUGGGACCAAUUUAAAAUUCAGCCUGUCUAUUGGUUAAUUUGGGUAUUGACUUAAAUUUGAUUUUUUCCAAAAAGCGAAACAAUUUGCCGUAAAAAAUGGCUUAUCGGAGACCGUUAAGAUAUACGGUAGCUAUGAUUAGUUGCUGGACGAUCCACGGAUUGAUGCUGUGUACCUGCCUUUGCCAACUAGCCUUCAUGUGCAGUGGGCAGUCUUGGCUGCUCAGAAGAGGAAGCAUUUGCUGAUGGAGAAACCGACGGCUCUUGAUGUGGAGGAGCUUGAUCAGAUAUUGGAUGCCUGUGAAUCCAACGGUUUGCAGUUCAUGGAUGGGACUAUGUGGUAUCAUCACCCAAGAACUGCUAAAAUGAAGGAAUUGGCAUCUGAUCCUCUGCUUUUUGGACAACUCAAAUGGGGACAUGUGGGGCUACGUAUCUUUAGGUUACUUCAAGCAGAUAACUAAGGCUGGUGAGAUUGGGUCCUCGACUAUGCCUCAUAAAGUAAAUCCCAUUGAUUUUGAAAAUAGUGAGGGCAAUCUUGGGAAAGCCAAUGGAGGUCUAUCCCAUUUAAGCAUAAAAUUACCUAUUUCUCGUUGGCAGGUAGA